rnacentral:lncRNA from 7 species
UAAGAUUUCAUUGACAACAUGCUUGGUCCAAAUGGAUUACAUAAAUUAUUCAAUAAUAUUAUGCUUCGACGUGAUAAGUGUGAUAAGAAAAAAGGAACUCCCUCUAAAGUAGCUUUUGGGCUUUUGAUCUCUUGUGGAGAGUAGAACUGCAAUUGGCAAGCAUUUAUCUUGAUCUUCGCAUCAAAAAUACCAUGGCGGCGAUGCUCCUUCUUGACCCGACGACAUAGGUGCAUUCCCCGGGGCGCCAUGAUCUUUGAUCUUGGGACCUUGCUCAGAUGGUGAGACAACAUUGUAAUUUGCCGGUGAGGGUGCUAUGGUUGAAUACAUCGAUCUAGAUGGUGGUGGAAGUUUCCUGUGGCCACGUGGUGGUUGUGCCUCACCAUGAGAAGGCGAUGGUGGUGAUGGAUACUUG